UGGGCCCAGUGAGGCCUUCAGGUUUGAUCCCAUAAGCAAUAGAGACCAUUUUAAAACAGGCACAGCUUGAUUAGAAUCACCUAGCUUUUCCAUGGGAAGCAGAACUGGAGUGACAACAGUAGAAACAGGGUGGCCCCUUCAGAGGCCAGCGAGCUGCCCAGAGUCAGUCUGGGCCAGAGUGGGCUGAACUGGGAGCUCUGGGAGGUUGUGCUGAUGAAACUGCUGAUGGGUUGGCUGUCGAGGGACAGGGAGCAAGCGGUGGCAGUGAAGAGAACAGGUGGAAAUUCAGGUCCGGGUCUCUGCAGACAGAGUUUGGAUCAGAUACUUGUUCUCAGGCUCAGUAACAAACAUUUCCUUCAGUGCACAGUUGAUACAGAUUACAAAUCAAGGUUGAAAACUCAACCAACGACCCUCAGUAUAACAAAAAAUGUCUCAUACUGUGUGCUGUGCACUGCAAACUGCAGAUGAGGACUCAGAUUACCACUCAGC
rnacentral:lncRNA from 1 species